GAGUUUGAUCAUGGCUCAGAUUGAACGCUGGCGGCAUGCCUCACACAUGCAAGUCGAACGGCAGCAUGAUCUAGCUUGCUAGAUUGAUGGCGAGUGGCGAACGGGUGAGUAAUACAUCGGAACGUGCCCUGUAGUGGGGGAUAACUAGUCGAAAGAUUAGCUAAUACCGCAUACGACCUGAGGGUGAAAGUGGGGACCGCAAGGCCUCAUGCUAUAGGAGCGGCCGAUGUCUGAUUAGCUAGUUGGUGGGGUAAAGGCCCACCAAGGCGACGAUCAGUAGCUGGUCUGAGAGGACGAUCAGCCACACUGGGACUGAGACACGGCCCAGACUCCUACGGGAGGCAGCAGUGGGGAAUUUGGACAAUGGGCGAAAGCCUGAUCCAGCAAUGCCGCGUGUGUG
rnacentral:rRNA from 1 species